CRUCCCCUCUKAUAKSGACUUAUAMUUUCCCCCUCUSUGUUUGAUCUUAUAUGUUGKUUCUCSGASCUGVGGAAAAUGAAUAAAGAGGGGAACAAGACGGGGGCAUUCGUAUUGCGCCGWUAGAGGUGNAARUUCUUGGAUCGGCGCASGGANGAACAACUGCGANAAGCRUUUGCCAAGAAUGUCUUCAUUAAUCAAGAACGAAAGUCGGAUGUUCGAAGGCGAUCAGAUACCGCCCUAGUUCMGACCAUAAACGAUGCCAACCAGCGAUCCGUCSCGGUUACCUCAAUGACUCGACGSSRASCWKCSGGGAAACCAAAGUUUUUGGRUUCCGGGGGAAGUAUGGUUGCAAAGCUGAAACUUAAAGGAWUUGACGGAAAGGCACCACCAGGAGUGGAGCCUGCRGCUUAAUUUGACUCAACACGGGAAAACUCACCCGGCCCGGACACUGUWWGGAUUGACAGAUUGAGAGCUCUUUCUUGAUUCGGUGGGUGGUGGUGCAUGGCCGUUCWNACGWGGSKCNGGCCUGNUCANUCUUAAUUGAGGUAACGAACGAGACUCUGGCCUGCUAAAUAGCACAGUUGUACCUUYGAGUGCAUCUGCUGCUUCUUAGAGGGACUGGUGAAUAUUCAGUCACAGGAAGAAGAGCGAUAACAGGUCUGUUAUGCCYUUAGAUGUYYGGGGCCGCACGCGCGCUACACUGAAGGAAUCAGCGUGUUUUAACCUUGCCCGGAAGGGCCKKGMAAWCCGUUGAAACUCCUUCGUGAUUGGGAUUGGGGCUUGCAAUUGUUGCCCAUGAACGAGGAAUUCCUAGUAUGCGUGAAUCAUAAGUUCACGAAGAUUACGUCCCUGCCUUUUGUACACACCGCCCGUCGCUACUACCGACUGGACGUAUUAUCAAGGGAUUUGGAUUGGCACCUGUCGUGGGGAAACCCAUGGGCAGGUCGCCGAAAAUUAUCCCAAAGG
rnacentral:rRNA from 1 species